rnacentral:rRNA from 1 species
CGCCGUCCGCUANUCAGCGAGANGUCCAUUGAACCUUAUCAUUUAGAGGAAGGAGAAGUCGUAACAGGGUUUCCGUAGGUGAACCUGCGGAAGGAUCAUUG